GGAGCACUCAGGCAGCAUCCGCGUCCCCUCUGAACCACAAACCACGCACAAAUCAUGGGCUGGCUAUCUCUGACUAAAGCACGCUAGAAGAAAGUCAAGAAUAGAUCUCUAUGAGGCAAACGAGCCCUCGGUGGCACCUCUCCAAGUGCUGGUCCAAGGUCACCUACUUCAGCAAUGAAGUUACCAAGGAACCCCUGAAGACAAGGAGCUGCCAAGUCCAAUACAUCAGCCAGUGCCGCGUUACGGUGUAGCCUGCUGCAAGGGCUGACCUUUUUGAACUCUUCCUGCAAUGUGCAGAACACAGCAUUUGGACCAAAAAAAAUGUGGGCAGAAGGAAAACUGUAGCAGAUGGAGUAGUACAAAUCGCACUUCAACGUGUCAUUGGGAAAUAAUUUGAAUAAGUAUAGCUCAUUUUUAAAGCUGUAGACACCAGAAAUAUGAGGAGAAAUAUGGCCAAAUACAUGUAACAUACUGACAGCCAUGCAGCAGUGAAAACGUAAUUUAAGAACUGAUGACAAAGAGCAUACAGCUGUACGUGCAUACAUAAUAGUAAUAAAUACUUUUCUUACCCCACUGGAAAAUCAGCCUUUGUGUGAAAAUGGACAGCACGAUAGUGCAUAAUAGUGCAUGGUGUAGAGUAAGGUGAAGGUUACUGACUUUGCUGCCAUGCCUGAAGUCACGGGAAAUGCUCAACAUCCUAAAAUAUACGUUGUAUUUUAGUGAAGAGUUUGUCCUAGCUGAAAACCUAGACUGAAAAUAUACAACAUUGAUAGAAAAUAAGAGAAGCUUCCAACCCAAGAUGCUUACCUAAAGGCUAAAUACGAAGAACUACUAUCUUUAUUAAAUACUGUAUCUAAUCGAGAUAUGGCUAGACAAUGUUGGCAGCUCCGAAAACUCUUGAGGUUUGGACUUGCUUCCCGUGCUGAUGACCAAGCAGCCAUCAAGGCACUUCUGCCAUUUUAUGUCCCGUGGCUCAACGCAAGAACCUCAAACACCUUCAAGUUGCACCAAGGAUGUUUCUUACUCUAACAGUCUCCUACCAGGUUGCAACAGGACUGGAAGUAAUCGCUUUGGUCAAUAAAACAGAAUACAAAUGCCAGGAUGCAUUAGGCCAGCCCACAGAAGAGAAUCAAUGUAGCAGCCACUUAUUUUGCUCUUCAGAAAGUUGCUCAGUGAGCUCAUUCCUCCUGUCUUCUCCUCCUCCUUCCUCCCUGCGGUUCACCCCGAAAAUCAC